CGGCUUCCUUAAGGCGGCCCGGCUGUCCCCGGCGGCGCGCGCCUCUGCGGCCCGGAAGCGUCGGUGACCUUGGGGCCGACUGGAGGGAGGCGCCUGCCGCGAUCCCCGCCGGAGGCUGGCGCCUGUCGCCGCUCGGCCCCUCUCCCCGGGUCCGUCCCUGGGCGCUGGGACGGGGCUUCGUGCGCGCGCUCCUUUCCGGGCUCCUCUCCGGCAAGACCGGCCCCGGCCGGCCCGUGCCCCCGGGUGGGGGGACCCGCGGCCGCCCGCGAGCUGGACGGCGCAGAGCCGGCGAGCGCGCGCGCGAACGGGGGCCGCAGCCCCGGGGGUCCGUGGGACCGCGCCGUCGGGGGCCGGGCCUGCGGGCUGGGGAGCGGCGGGGCCGAGGCCGGCCCAGGACCUGCUGCAGCGCGAGGUCGCCGGCGCCGGGUGGUCCCCUCCCGCCUCCGCCGAGCGGCCGGGACGGCCUCGGGUUCCCUCCCCGAGGAGCGGGGUGACAGCGUGGAUUUCAAAGGGGUCCCGUAGUCAGAGGGCCCUCCACCAGGACGUCAGGUGCAGAGCAACAACAGGGAAUCGCGGGGGUCGGGGCGCGGAUGGAGGCAGUCCGUCCCCCGAGGAGGACCUACUACUGGCCGCACGUUGCCCAGGGGCUGGGCUCCAAAACCAACACAGGGAAAGGAUUUUGUCAGAAGGAAGUACUCUUUGCUGUGUCUGCUGUCAGAAGGCCCACUUGUGA
rnacentral:lncRNA from 1 species